rnacentral:rRNA from 1 species
UACAUGGGUUGCAAACGUUGCUCGGAAUUAUUGGGCGUAAAGCGCACGUAGGCGGUUCGUUAAGUCGGAUGUGAAAGCCCUCGGCUCAACUGAGGAAGUGCACCCGAAACUGGCGAGCUUGAGUACGAAAGAGGAUCGCGGAAUUCCCGGUGUAGAGGUGAAAUUCGUAGAUAUCGGGAGGAACACCGGCGGCGAAGGCGGCGAUCUGGGUCGAUACUGACGCUGAGGUGCGAAAGCGUGGGGAGCAAACAGG